UGGGGAAUUUUGGACAAUUGGGCGAAAGCCUGAUCCAGCAAUGCCGCGUGUGUGAAGAAGGCCUUCGGGUUGUAAAGCACUUUUGUCCGGAAAGAAAUCCUUGGCUCUAAUACAGUCGGGGGAUGACGGUACCGGAAGAAUAAGCACCGGCUAACUACGUGCCAGCAGCCGCGGUAAUACGUAGGGUGCAAGCGUUAAUCGGAAUUACUGGGCGUAAAGCGUGCGCAGGCGGUUUGCUAAGACCGAUGUGAAAUCCCCGGGCUCAACCUGGGAACUGCAUUGGUGACUGGCAGGCUAGAGUAUGGCAGAGGGGGGUAGAAUUCCACGUGUAGCAGUGAAAUGCGUAGAGAUGUGGAGGAAUACCGAUGGCGAAGGCAGCCCCCUGGCAAGUACUGACGCUCAUGCACGAAAGCGUGGGGAGCAAACAGGAUUAAUACCCUGGUAGUCCACGCCCUAAANGAUGUCAACUAGUUGUUGGGGAUUCAUUUUCCUUAGUAACGUAGCUAACGCGUGAAGUUGACCGCCUGGGGAGUACGGUCGCAAGAUU
rnacentral:rRNA from 1 species